rnacentral:rRNA from 1 species
CCUACGGGAGGCAGCAGUGGGGAAUAUUGGGCAAUGGGCGCAAGCCUGACCCAGCAACGCCGCGUGAAGGAAGAAGGCUUUCGGGUUGUAAACUUCUUUUCUCAGGGACGAAGAAAGUGACGGUACCUGAGGAAUAAGCCACGGCGAACUACGUGCCAGCAGCCGCGGUAAUACGUAGGUGGCAAGCGUUAUCCGGAUUUACUGGGUGUAAAGGGCGUGUAGGCGGGGAAGCAAGUCAGAUGUGAAAACCACGGGCUCAACCUGUGGCCUGCAUUUGAAACUGUUUUUCUUGAGUACGGGAGAGGCAGACGGAAUUCGUAGUGUAGCGGUGAAAUGCGUAGAUAUUAGGAGGAACACCAGUGGCGAAGGCGGUCUGCUGGAGCGCAACUGACGCUGAGGCGCGAAAGCGUGGGGAGCAAACAGGAUUAGAUACCCGUGUAGUC